GCCANUGUGGCGGAACUGGUAGACGCGGCGGAUUCAAAAUCCGCUUGAGGNAACUCAGUGUCGGUUCGAGUCCGACCAGUGGUACCA
rnacentral:tRNA from 1 species